GAUGAACGCUGGCGGCGUGCCUAAUACAUGCAAGUCGAGCGAACAGACGAGGAGCUUGCUCCUCUGACGUUAGCGGCGGACGGGUGAGUAACACGUGGAUAACCUACCUAUAAGACUGGGAUAACUUCGGGAAACCGGAUCUAAUACCGGAUAAUAUAUUGCACCGCAUGGUUCAAUAGUGAAAGACGGUUUUGCUGUCACUUAUAGAUGGAUCCGCGCCGCAUUAGCUAGUUGGUAAGGUAACGGCUUAUCAAGGCAACGAUGCGUAGCCGACCUGAGAGGGUGAUAGGCCACACUGGAACUGAGACACGGUCCAGACUCCUACGGGAGGCAGCAGUAGGGAAUCUUCCGCAAUGGGCGAAAGCUUGACGGAGCAACGCCGAGUGAGUGAUGAAGGUCUUCGGAUCGUAAAACUCUGUUAUUAGGGAAGAACAAAUGUGUAAGUAACUAUGCACGUCUUGACGGUACCUAAUCAGAAAGCCACGGCUAACUACGUG
rnacentral:rRNA from 1 species